UCAAGGGUCUGAGCCACCCAUGCACCCUAGUUUGGUUGCAUUUUUGUCAUUAAUGGGCUAUGUUUCUUGAUGCUUCUCAGGAAAUGAUGACCGAUAAAGCAGAGGAGUCUGCUGUUGGGCCCGAGAACCAAAUGAAACGUCAUGGAGAACCCAUGACUUCUCCUCUGUGUAAGAGAAGACUGACCAUGGCAAUGCUGUCAGUGAUGCCGGAAGGAGAGGGAGCAUCCGAGGCCGGGGACUCAGCCGUGUGUUUGGAAGAUGAUGAUCCCAAGGUCACCGCAGUAUCUGUGCUGGAAGAAGGGCCAGGGAAACUGCCAAAAACGAUGGAAACCACUGUGGAAAGGAAACAUCAACUGAAGAAGGAAAUUCAAAGAUUUGGACAACAAUAUGAUAGAGUCUUCAAACUGCUUGAAGGAGUGCAAGAACCUCUGGAAUUGCGGCAAAAAUUUUGUUGCAUUUUGCAGGAGGAAGGCAACAAGAUUUAAAAGACAAGACUUAAUAAGCCACCUUGAGACAGUACUAGAAAAAUUGGAAUCAGACCAAAUUCUCAACGAAGAUAAUCCCACCCCAAAUUUAUAAUCCUACUAGUGAAAUGAUCAAUAACAAACCAGAACAAGAUGGCUGCCUUAGAAUGGAACCCGAUAUUGUUGAUGCCUCCUCACACGUGUUAGUUAAGACAAUUGUCUUCUUGAGGCCAAGAAAAAGAGUUGGAACUUAAAUGUUAUAAAUUUCUGUUAUUAAAAGCUGGGCAUUUUCCCUAAGUAUUUGGUUUGAACAGACGAUUUAUUGUGUGUGUGUG
rnacentral:lncRNA from 1 species